AGCAGGAUGAAGCGAAAGUAAAAUUUCGUGGAGGUCCGAACCCACGAGCGUUGAAAAGCUCGGGGAUGACUUGUGGGUAGCGGUGAAAUUCCAAUCGAGCCCGGAGAUAGCUGGUUCUCCCCGAAAUAGCUUUAGGGCUAGCCUCAAGGUGAGAGAUACGGAGGUAGAGCACUGAAUGUCCUAGGGGGUAUUGCACCUACCGAAGACUAUCAAACUCCGAAUGCCGUCAUCUUAUACUUGGGAGUCAGACUGUGGGUGAUAAGAUUCAUAGUCGAAAGGGCAACAGCCCAGAUCGUCAGCUAAGGUCCCUAAAUGUAAGUUAAGUGGUAAAGGAUGUGGGAUUGCACAGACAACCAGGAUGUUGGCUUAGAAGCAGCCACUCAUUCAAAGAGUGCGUAAUAGCUCACUGGUCGAGUGAUCCUGCGCCGAAGAUUUCCGGGGCUAAAACUUACUACCGAAGCUACGGCAUCAGUAAUGAUGGGUAGGGGAGCUUCCCAUACGGGUUGAAGCAUGACCGUAAGGACAUGUGGACAGUAUGGGAGUGAGAAUGUUGGCAUGAGUAGCGAGAUGUGGGUGAGAAUCCCACAGGCCGUAAACCCAAGGUUUCCAGGGGAAGGUUCGUCCGCCCUGGGUUAGUCGGGACCUAAGCUGAGGCCGAAAGGCGUAGGUGAUGGACAACAGGUUGAUAUUCCUGUACUACCGAUAACCGUUUGAGAGAAGGGAUGACACAGUAGGAUAAGCUAAGCACACUGUUGGUUAUGUGUGCCCAAGCAUUGAGGCAGUCAAAGUAGGCAAAUCCGCUUUGAUAAUGCUGGGAUGUGAUGGGGAGCGAAAUUUAGUAGCGAAGUAGCUGAUUUCACACUGUCAAGAAAAGUCUCUAUCGAGGUUAAAGGUACCCGUACCGCAAACCGACACAGGUGGGUGAGGAGAGUAUCCUAAGGCCAGCGAGAGAACUGUUGUUAAGGAACUCGGCAAAAUGACCCCGUAACUUAGGGAUAAGGGGUGCCACCAUCAGGUGGCCGCAGAGAAUAGGCCCAAGCGACUGUUUACCAAAAACAUAGGUUUCUGCUAAGUCGCAAGACGAUGUAUAGGAGCUGACGCCUGCCCGGUGCUGGAAGGUUAAGGGGAUCUGUUAGAGCAAUCGAAGCAGUGAACUUAAGCCCCAGUAAACGGCGGCCGUAACUAUAACGGUCCUAAGGUAGCGAAAUUCCUUGUCGGGUAAGUUCCGACCCGCACGAAAGGCGUAACGAUUUGGGCACUGUCUCAACAACAGACUCGGUGAAAUUGUAAUUCCGGUGAAGAUGCCGGAUACCUGCGACAGGACGGAAAGACCCCAUGGAGCUUUACUGUAGCUUGACAUUGGGUCUUGGUACUACAUGUACAGGAUAGGUGGGAGGCUUUGAAACCAGGACGCCAGUUUUGGCGGAGCCAUCCUUGGGAUACCACCCUUGUAGUACUGGGACUCUAACCAUAGGCCAUGAAUCUGGUCUUGGGACACUGUCAGGUGGGCAGUUUGACUGGGGCGGUCGCCUCCCAAAAGGUAACGGAGGCGCUCAAAGGUUCUCUCAGUACGGUCGGAAAUCGUACGUAGAGUGUAAAGGCAAAAGAGAGCUUGAUUGCAAGACAUACAGGUCGAGCAAGGAUGAAAAUCGGACUUAGUGAUCCGGUGGUUCUGCGUGGAAGGGCCAUCGCUCAACGGAUAAAAGCUACCCUGGGGAUAACAGGCUUAUCUCCCCCAAGAGUCCACAUCGACGGGGAGGUUUGGCACCUCGAUGUCGGCUCAUCACAUCCUGGGGCUGUAGUAGGUCCCAAGGGUUGGGCUGUUCGCCCAUUAAAGUGGUACGCGAGCUGGGUUCAGAACGUCGUGAGACAGUUCGGUCCCUAUCCGUCGCAGGCGUAGGAAAUUUGAGAAGACCUGUCCUUAGUACGAGAGGACCGGGAUGGACG
rnacentral:rRNA from 1 species